GCUCGGUCUGUCUCGUCCUCCAGGGUCUUUUUCUCGGUCUAUCGAAGCUCUCGGUCUAUCGGAGCCCUCACCGUGCUUCUGGUUUGCCAUGCUCGAAGCCCCCUGUGCGUCGUCCCAUCAAGUCCUCCUCUUCGAAGCUCUCAUUGCAUUCUCAGAAUCGAUUUCCCAGACGCUGUAAAUUAUACUGAUCUUUGAAACUCGGAAGUUGCAAGCUUUGCAUGGUUAGAAGGUGUGGUUAUUUAACUUUGUUUUAACAUAUAUUGGGCUAGGGAGGGGCGGAGGUUCAAUUGGGAUGAUCCAGUUGAAUACUUUACUUUUAAGGUUUGGGCAUUUCUUGUUGGGUAUUAUAUUCCCUCCUCCUUUCCCCCUUGGCGUAUGCGAGUUAAUUUUUGUAAGGAGCCGCAUGUCUUUCCAGAAAAAAAUAUAUUUUUUCUAUGUCAUCGGAAUGUAGAAUUUUUUGGGGCAUUGUAAGAUGAAUUAUCUGGUCAUCGCCCUUCAAUUUGGUCUUGAAGAAAUCUAAUGUCAUGUUCAUUAGAUAUUAUAAUGUUCCUUUGUCAGUUUAGGGUGAAUAGUUUCUAAUAAAGUGGGAUUUAGGAUUCUUUUUCGAAUUGUGAUUAAUUGUGAUCCUGUCAUUUAUUUUUAUGAGAGUAUCCUUGUUGAGGUCGAGAAGUACCUAACCGUUCUGGUUGUUAUUUUGAGAUUUGUCAAGCAAUUGCGUGUGUAAUAAACAAAAACAAUAUGAAGAACCUCGACUUGUAAUAACUUUUUUUAAUUUUAAAUUUGGAAUUAUUCUCUAUGCAUAGGGACGAACAUGGCUAGAAUUUUUCUGUCUUGACUGAGGAUAAAACACUCUCUUGCUAGUCUUGUGCAUGUGUGUGUAAGUCUCUGCUUGUCUCUAUGUCUUUGUUUGCACUUUGUAGGGUACCUGAUAGAUAAUCCUUUGUUGACUUAAGAGUAUUAUUUUGAUACAUAUAUUAUUAACUAGAUAGAGCUGUGAGACUCUAGUGUCUUUUAAAUUAAGAAGGGUCUUUACUAUUCGUGUUUUAGAUGUGAUGUUGCAUUGAAUAUUGCUAGUUCUUUUGCUUCUAUCUUGAGAUUGCUAAGUUUGGGAUCUGUAGAGUCACAAAAAUAUUGUUUCUUUGCUCGUACUAUAUAUGAUCAUUGUUUUUUGCUGAUGAAACUAAAUCUUUUGCUCUUAUUUAUGAUAAUUUUGGCUUGUUUAUUGAUUUCCAUUAUUCUUCUUGAUUGCUUUGUUAGAUGAGCAAAGAAUCUGAAAAUCUUUUACUGGUGCAACAUUGGUUUGAAUUGCGUCGAAGAGCACUAGCUCUUCUUGCUUGUGUCCUUGUAAAAGUAUGUGCAAGUGACAUGUGUUCGAAAAAAAUAAGUUACAGUUUGAGUGGCAAGAAAGAAAUGGUACGUGAUGAAAUAAUGAGCCAAAUUAGUGAUUAUCCCUCUAGUCGAAAUAUUAUUAGAAUGACUCCUAAAACUUUUUUAGAAUUAUGUGGUAUGUUAGAAAGAGAGGUUGGCCUGCAACCCACGUGAUGGUCAAGUGUGGAAGAAAUGGUUGCAAAAACUCUAUAUAUAUUGACAUACAACGCAAAAAAUCAUAAAGUGAAUUUUUGGUUUAGGCGUUUUGGUGAGACAAUUAGUCGCCAUUUUCAUCAAGUUUUGAUAGCUAUCAUUGACUUAGAAGAAAAAUUUCUUGUUCAACCUAAUGGCUCAACCAUCCUUCCUGAAAUUGAAAAAGAUAAGAAAUUCUUCCCAUAUUUUAAGGAUUGUGUUGGUGCUAUUGAUGGAACACAUAUGCGAGUCAAGGUGCCUUCUUUAGAUGCUCCUAGAUACUGUGGUAGGAAGGAAUUUCUGACACAGAACGUCUUAGCAACAUGUACCUUUGAUCUAAAGUUCACGUAUGUGCUUCCUAGAUGGGAAGGUACUGCAUCUGACUCAAGAAUCAUUAAAAAUGCAUUAACACGAGAAAAUAAGCUUAUAAUUCCUGAAGGUAAAUAUUUUACUAAUUUUGAUAAAGUUUAUAUUUGUGAAUAUAAAAUUAUUAUAGUAAUUAUUUUCUUUUACGAUAGGUAAAUAUUACCUUGUCGAUGCUGGAUUCAUGUUAACAAGAGGAUUUAUAACACCUCACCGAAGAGUCCGUUAUCAUUUGAAAGAAUAUUCAAAAUAGAAUCCCCCCUAAAUUAUAGAGAGUUAUUUAACCUUCGACAUGCAAAGUUACGCAAUGCCAUUGAACGUGCUUUUGGUGUUUUGAAAAAAAGAUUUUCCAUUCUAUCCAAUGUAACUGAACCUACAUAUGGAAUCAAAGCACAAAAAAUGAUAAUAUAUGUAUGUUGCAUUCUUCAUAACUUCCUUGUGAGUAUGGACCCUAUUGAAGAUCUUUUAGAGGAAGUUGAUGCUGUUCUUGCAAGAGAAAGCCAUUCAAAUGAUAAUAACCAUGCUCAAAGAGGGGACAAUAAUAAGGCUGCUCGAGGUGAACUUAUUAGAGAAAAUAUAGCCAAUUAGAUGUGGGCAGAUUAUCAGGAACAUCUGGCUACUCUUGAGGAUGAACUUGAUGAUUGAAUUUUGAUUUCUCAAUAAGUUAGACUCUAUUGUAUCAUUAUAGACAUUUAAAUAUGUUGUAUUAUUACAUUAACUUAUAUUGAGUUUAAUUGAGGUUUGAUCAGAUAUUAAAA